rnacentral:lncRNA from 1 species
UGGUCUGGAGAAAGAGAGGCCAAAUUUAGGAUCGAGUGUCUUCUCUUCCUUGGCCAAAGUUCACAUGUCGAUCAAUCCCACCAUGUAGCUUCGCUUUAUGUCCUCCAUCACAGGUACAUGUCCCUCUUCUCUCCUUUCUUUUAUCUAUCCUUGUUCUUUUCUCUCCUAUAUCUCCUACAUCUAUCCUCUAGAAUUGAUUUUCGUUUUUUAGGGUAUUUUUCCUUCUUUUGUUAUCUUUUAAUUCGGUAAUAAAUCUAAUCUCAGUUUAUUUAUUUGUAAUAUUUGCACCUUAUUCAUUCAUUUGUACUAAAUCAAAUCUGAUUUUGGUUAUAUGUGGUGAUUUUGGUGGUCAAUCAAUUUUUAUUUUGGAUAUAUGUGCACCACAUGUUUGAUGUUUUGUCCAUCUGUUGCAAAAUUUUGAAAUCCUUAUGUUUACAGUCUAAUAUGAUUGUAUACAUAUGUAAAAAGUUUUAUACCUUUAGGUUUGCGUAUUAGGUGUCACAACAAAUAAGUUCCCUAGUUCUCACACAGGUGAAUUUGACAGAUGACAACUACACUAAUAAUAAAACAUAUAUAAUAAACACAAUACAUUAAAUGAUUGUAUAAUGAUUGAGUUAGAAUAUGAACAGUUUUUUUGUACUCUAUUAGUCUCAAAAUGAGUGUCCACAUUUAAAAGUUAGCUUUUAAGAAGAGCUUGAAUAUAGCAUUAUCAACUGCCAAGAUCACAACAUACAGGAUGUAAUCAAGGUUUCAAGCAAUUUUAAAAAUUUAGCCUAGAAAAUGUAUCAUGAUAAGAUUAUAAAGCAAAUGAAGCAAUAUCUCUGACACCUUAUAUACCUUUAAGUUUGGGUAUUAGAUGUCACAACCCCACUGUUCAAAUAAGUUCCCUAGUUCUCACACAGGUGAAUUUGACAAAUGACAACUACACUAGCUGAAUAGAGAAUUCAUGUUCUUUACCUAAUCAACUUUUUGACCUUUUUCCUAAAUAACCUCAUCAUUCUAGUUUUCCCAUUUUUUACAAAUUAAUUGUAAAGUUUUUAUUUUUGUGAUUAAUGCAGAUUAACUACGAAGUUUACACAUGAAUAUUUGCACUUACUCACCAUAUACUGAUUAGAUACAUAUUUCAGUCUUUUGAAGCUUUCGAGUGUCCACAUAGGUACAACAUGAAUAUGGCUUUCCUGUUCAUUCAAUGUGAACCACUGCAUAUCUUCUUUAGGGAGAUCUAAGGAUUCCAAAAGACGCAGCUUUGUAGUAUUGACAUAGAUUUUCUUGCGCAAAACCCGAGCAAACCUCUAUAAAUAGCCUUUCUUUUCCUAUUUUCAAAAAGAAACAAAUGGAAGGAAAAGAAUAAAUGUUUCUGUAGAGAUGAGAAUGUUGUAUAAUAGAAAUUAUGGUACCAGAUAUAUUAUACUGUGGAUGGACCCUCAGUGGGGAGCAAACCCAGAGAGAGAACCUAUUGUAUAGCUACUAAUCAAAAAUAGAGUUCUUGGGUUGAAUGCUUCAGCCUGGAUGACAUCAAUGACAAAUUGAAUAACAGCCUCCUGCUUUGGAAAGUCAUACUGCAAAGAAUAGUUUAUAAACUUCCAUCAUGAUCAUCCAGUAAAAAAAAUGGAAGUAGCUUAAUUAAAAUAUGUACAUGAACAAUUUUUCUCUCUACAUAUAUAGUUAGGAAAGUAGUAGUAACAUGCUCCUGAAAGUAUGAAAACUUAUCUACAGUAAAGAUCGACAAUAAAUCAUAUUUUAUACAAGUGAAUGAACAUACAGGUUUAAAUGAAGGGAGUGUAAUUUAUUUUUUGAAUUUCGAAGAGAUGCUUAUAAUAUAUGUCAUUAUUACAAUUAAAAUGGCAAUCGUAAAAUGUCUUAAGGUGGGAAAAAAUAUCAUGUCAGUCGAAAAAAUAAUAUAGUUACUAUAGAU